rnacentral:rRNA from 1 species
UGAGUAACCUGCCCUUAACUCUGGGAUAAGCCUGGGAAACUGGGUCUAGUACCGGAUAUGACUCCUCAUCGCAUGGUGGGGGGUGGAAAGCUUUUUGUGGUUUUGGAUGGACUCGCGGCCUAUCAGCUUGUUGGUGAGGUAAUGGCUCACCAAGGCGACGACGGGUAGCCGGCCUGAGAGGGUGACCGGCCACACUGGGACUGAGACACGGCCCAGACUCCGUACGGGAGGCAG